AGUAAUCUUAGUGGUUUUGACAAUAUAUGAAUUUUUCUUUGCAUGGAAGACUAUAUGGAGUGAGGGCACUUUAUGAAGUGGGCCCUAUUUCUCUUGUCCUUUCAUACUAAGAUAAAUGUUAUAUAGAUAGAAACUGACCUGGAUUACUCAGGUCUGAACUCAGAUCACAUAGAACUUUAACCGUUAAACAAACGAACCCUUAAUAGCGGCUACACCAUUAGGAUGUCCUCAUCCAACAUCGAGGUUGUAAACCCUAUUGUCAAUACUUUUAUCCGUAGGGUAAUUUAUUCCGUUGAUUGAAUUAUUUGGUCAAUGUGUACUAACUCGCUUAGACUACUGCAGUCUUAGUUUAGGUUGUUCGGAGGUUGAACUAUGCUCCGAGCUCACCCCAACCAAAAUUUUUAAUGCAGGGAUAGUAGGCCAGGGCCUCUAGACUUGUUUGGGUUUUUAUUUGCAUUAAUGAAUUAAAGCUCCAUAGGGUUUUCUAGUCUCAUUUGUUUAUAUCCGCCUCUUCACAGAUAGGUCAAUUUCACUGAUUAAAAGUAAGAGACAGCUGAACCCUUGUGUGUCCAUUCAUACAAGUCCCUAUUUAGGGAACAAGCGAUUAUGCUACCUUUGCACGGUCAGGAUACCAUGGCCGUUGAACAUAUGUCACCGGGCAGGCAGUGACUCUAAAACUGGUAAUGCUAGAGGUGAUGUUUUUGGUAAACAGGUGGGGUAAGAUUUGUCAUGUUCCUCUUACUUUUUGCAAUCUUUCCUUAGAGCAUACCUUAGUUGGGUUAACAGUGUAAAUAAUAGGGUGCUUAUUAUAUCAUUUAUUAAUAUUAGGUUGUUAACUGUCAGUGGGUUAUUCCAGUCUGAUGUAAACGUAUGCAAUGGAGAAUGUUUAUAUUAACAUUAUUGGUUCUAUUAAGUAAUUGAUUAGUCCAGUAUGAUGUUAGGAGUUCAGUAGAGUGAUUAGAAUUGAAGAUAGUUAGAUGUUGAGCUUUAAAUGCUUUCUUAAUUGGUGGCUGCGUUUGGGCCAACUAUGGUGGUAGUAUUUUUUACUCUCUGUAGGAACGUCGUUUCCUAGGGUCUACAGAGCUGUCCCUCUUAGACUAACAGCUAAAUUUACAGGGAGAGUAAAUAAUUCUGUGGGUAAGUUUAAAGUUGAACUAAGAUUCCACGUUGGACAACCAACUAUCACCAGGCUUGGUAGGCUUGUCACCGCUAGUCAUGAAUCUCCCAACUAUUUUGCCACAUAGAUGGGUGUACUCUUCAGUUGUUCUUGGGUAGCUCAUCUGGUUUUGGGGGACUUGGCUAUAAUCCUCUGUGUAAAGUUACUUCUAGUUAAUACAUUAUGCGGAAGGUAUAAGAGCUUGUCUUUGCUUUUUAGUGCUUUAUAUAGUUCUUUCACCUUUCUUUUACGGUACUAUGUCUACUACACCAGGGUAAAAAUUUCUAUCACCUAUACUUUCGUUUAAUGUAAAUGGUUUGAUUAAGAUAGUUUGAUAAUAUUUUUAGCGAGGUUUGGGGCUAGCGUUGGCUCAAAGUGAACAGAUCAUGAUGAAAUCUUCCAGGUGUAAGCCGGAUGCUUUGGGUUAAGCUACACUUUGGUUUGUCCAAGCGCCCUUUCCAGUACGCUUACCAUGUUACAACUUAUCUCCUCUGUAUGUGCAUAGAAAGUUUUUAGUAAUAGUGAUUUCUAGAGUAAUAUUUGAGGAGGGUGAUGAGCGGUGUGUGCAUGCUUCAUGGCCUUAUUCAACCAAGCACUCUGCGCUUGGUUUACUACUAAAUCCUCCUUGAGCCCUUAGAUUUCAUAAAGGUUGUUGUGAGAUUUGCCGGAUAUAGAAAAUGUAGCCCAUUUCUUGCCACCUCAUAGGCUGUACCUUGACCUAAUGUUUUUAUAUGUGUACUUGUGCUUACUCUGUAACUUUUUUAGGGUUUGCUGAAGAUGGCAGUAUAUAGGCUGCGGGCAAGAGGUGGCAAGGCGGUUGUAUCGGGGUUUAUCAAUUAUAGAACAGGCUCCUCUAGAGGGAUAUAAAGCACCGCCAAGUCCUUUGAGUUUUAAGCUGUUGCUUGUAGUACUCUGGCGAAUGGUUUUCUCAAUGUAACUAUUAGAGUUUAGGGCUAAGCAUAGUGGGGUAUCUAAUCCCAGUUUGGGUUUUAGCUAUUGUGUCUUCAGGGUAUUAAAGCCACUUUCGUAGUAUAUUUUAUUUCAGCUGUAGUUUUUUACAACUCAAUUGGAGUUUAGCUUUAUUGAGGGUAGACCUUAAUUAAACACUCUUUACGCUGAGUUCUGUCAGCUCGGGUUAAUCAUAUGGUCGCGGUGACUGGCACGAAAUUGACCUAUCCUAAAUAUUAGUAUAGCUUAGUUAAACUUUCGUUUAUUACUAAAGAUUUAUCACUGCCGUUUCCCAUGGGGGUGUGGUUGAGCAAAGUUGUUUUGAGCUGUAUUCAUGCUUGCUUGAUACCUGCUCCUUUUGAUCCGGGUGACCUAGAGGGCAUUUUCACUGGGGCAGGGAUGCUUACAUGUGUAAUCUUACUAAGAGCUAGUAAAAAGGCCAGGACCAAACCUCUCUGUUUAUAGGGUUGUGCGGAUCCAUCUAGACAUUUUCAGUGUCUUGCUUUGAAUAAUUAAGCUACAUUAACUGCAUAAAUUCUUAAGUGUAAAUAUUAAAAUAUGAGAAAUAAAUAAAUAAAUAAAAAUAGUCGUUUACAGUUCUGGAAAUUCAGGGUCUUUAAAGUUGAAUUGGCAGAGGUUUGGCUAAGAAGAUCACUCAUAAUCAAGAGUAUGAUUGAUUUAGGAGAUGAUAUAUGGGGCAAUGCUUUCGGGGGAUAUGCUCAAGGUAUUAUAUUAGUAUUAGGGCAGAAAUUUAGUUAUUAUAUUUAUUAUACAAAGUGGAGGAUUAAUUUAGUAGGAGGGUGUUAAGAUUUUUUAGAAAAAUUACAUCAAUCGAGGGGUAGCUGUUGAGGCGUUCAUGGUUAAAAUAUGAUUUCUGGGCUCUGACUGGGCUGCAUUUUAGUCUUUUGUUUUUGGGGUUUGGCAAGGAUACAUUUAGCUAGGUUGAUAGUAAAGUCAGAGAUGCGGGGAGGGGGUAUUGCAGAUUUAAUCGGAAAUAGUUCUUGAAAUUCAGAGUGCGGGCGUGAGCGUCGGUACGGGCGUGAGCGUCGGUACAGGCUUGCGUGUCUAUUAAUUGUUAUGUCCUUCAAGCAUGAAUUAAGUAACACCUUCUGGUUAUAAUGCCAGCCUGGAAUAUGAAUAUAAGGUUAGCUUCUACAAUUGAUUUGGCAGGAAUCAAAUCCGAGUUCCUCUACUGCGGAUUCGGCAGGGACCAGGUGAGUGAUAGCAUCCCCCAAAGUUAAAAGUACCAAAUGCAUGACAUGACAGUGCUCCUGUGACUGGUUAAUAGGGUGGUAGUCAUUAGUCCAUGGAAAUGUCUUAUUUAAGGGGAACGUGUGGGCGAUCUUAAUUCUAUGGCCCUGAAGUAAGAACCAGAUGCCAGGUAUGGUUUCAGUAUAGUCACCCCCAAGUGUCAUGGGCCUGGAACCAGGAGGGUGCCACUCCUGAGAGGGAUGAUGAUUUCUCAGUGGUUGGUAGAUUAAGAGAGCAAAAUUUGAUAGGGGAUAUACAUGUUGACGAGGGAUUUCUUGACUGAAAUGUGCUAUGUCCGAUGAACGAAUGUAUGCACUGUGAUUUACAGUAUGGGUCAAUAUCCACGUGGGUUAGAUUUUAUUGUACAGUCAAUAGUAGAUGUGUGAUAGUUGAUUAAGAAGUUAUUAAUAUGUGCUUCUAUGCAUGUGGACUAUGCUUGUGGAAGAUCAUAAUUUAGGAGGUGUUAAUAUUAAAAAAAAACCUAAGAAUUCUGUAAAUAUCAGUAGAUAGAGGAAACAACAUACACAGGAAUAAACGUAACAUGAUGUGCAAUGAAAUUGUCUUCUCACUGUAGAAGAAUACUAAUUAGCAUUUUAAACAUCAGUAUACAUAAUAGGAAAAGAUAGGUUUAUAUAUUUUAUGAUUUUACUUAGUUUAGUUCGCAUAGUAAAAUACAGUAUAUCUGAAUUCUCAUUAAACUUUUCCAGUUAACUAUUAAAAAUAGACGCUAGUACAUUACCAAGUGUAUGUUUUUUCAAGUUGUCCAAAUUCAUUAAAAAGAAACCUCCAAGACUGGACUGUGUUUAUACUCUAAUGACUAUUUUCCAAAAUUCUUUCCUGAUUUUGUUUCAUAUAAGUGUUCCUAUUCCUAAACCUUUAUUUUUCAUCUCCCUAUGCCUUUGAUACUCUUGAGAGUGAAAUAAUCCAUUAAUUACAGCAUCACCUAAAAGGUGUAUCAUUAGGUCCAAUCAUUUCUAGAGCUUCAUUUCCAUUUUAUAUAUACUUAUAAAAUAUUAGACUGCUUAAUAUGUACUGUCUCAAAUCUGAAGUUAUCAUUCUCUCUUUCAAAAUUGCCAAGGAAUAUGAAUUUCCUGUUAUUAUGACUAGCAUGAUAGUUUAUAAAUGGUUUCAGACAAGACAAAUAAUCUAAGGCCUUCUGCUCUAGUAGAAAGCACAAUAAACUUUCAGCAAAACAUUUCAUGUUUCAUUUGUGGAUCUUCUGCUAAUAGGAUAUGUACUGUACAAUUAUGUGCUUAAACAGUAUAAACUUGAGUCUCCAUAUCUCUGUAAUAUUAAUGAUAGCACCUAUAGAUUAUGUUAUGUGAUAAUAAAACAAUAUGUAUUACAGUAAACUCCUCCAAAAAAUGUUAAGAGCUAUAAAGAUGUUUAUUAUUAGUAGUAAAGUUUCUAUAAUACAAAUAUAAUCAAUGUAAGUUGCCAGAAACUACUGUACUAAUGCAUGCUAUUAUGAUUUGAGAUAAUAUAGCACACUUAAAGGAAAAAAAAGUAUGAUUUGUAUUGACCAGACUCAAUCAGAACUUUUAAAAGUCAUCUAUACCAAUUCUGUGGACUUCCUCCACUUCUCCCCAAGCAUAAAUGAAGUAUUUGAUUUUAUAAAGCGCUAAUAUGUAAAGAGAUUAUUUGGUGAUUUUGCAAGUUAUGUUAUAAUCAGAUCAGAUCAAUUUUCAUCUUUCUCAUGGAAAGUCAUGAAUCAAUAAUAAGCUCACUUCUAUGGAAAACAACAAAUCAUCGUUUAAAGGCUACUUAUUCACACAGCCGAUAAAUUAUAAAGCAUCAUAAUAAAAGCAGUAAAAAUGAUAGCAUUAAACCAUUUUUUAUAAAAUUAUUACACAAUGUAGUUAAAAAACAGGUAUGGGCUUUGUGAGGUAUGCUCUAGAAACUUAACUCAGGGAAUGUAAAACCAGUAAUUUCAAGCUUAAGAAACAUUACAUGCUGCCCAUCACAUCCCUGUAAGCUCCUACUGAAUAGAAUUUGAAAGCUGCACAACCAAGCUAGAGGCACCAGGACUGCCUCAGAAUUGAUAAUAGCAAGUUGGAAAAGUAAUCAAUGGACUUCGUUACAUAAUACUUGACAUGCAUGUGUUUGAAAACAAACAAACAAAAAAAUUGAAAGUAGAAGAUAUACUAAAAUUGAUAACAGAAUAAGGGAAGAAAAAUACAGUAAGAGAUAAGAAAAUGAAAAUAGACAAGAGAAAUAUUGAAUGAGAAGUUUCAUGUGAUGAUAAUCAAACUAUCAGAAAUUUCCAAGGAAGGAAGAGAGAAAAUCUGUGUAAUAAAAUGAUAGCGCAGGAAAUUGGAGAGGUAGUUAUUACAAUGUUCUCAACAAAAGAACUAAACUUCAGGAAUGUUACUGGAGAUAGAAAGGGGCCAUGUUAACUAGUGCAACUGUGUGUAGUUAAGUAGGCUGUAGGCUGUAGUCUUCACAGGGUCACCUUGUUGGUGUGCCAUGUCAAGCAAUGAGCCAUGGCAUGAGGCUACAUCAGUCCUGAGGAAGGGGCUUCAUUUUCUAAUUAGUCCUCCCCAAAGAGGAGCUUUUUUUUUAUUAUUAUUAUUUCAUCAUCAAUCCACCUAAAAAAUAAUGUUUUCUCCUGCUCCUGUUCCUCCUCCUGCUCUUCCUCCUCCUCUUCCUCUUUCUUCACACAAAGUUACAGUAUAAACUUGGUGCAGUCUUUCCCCGCACAAAAUGGAACAAGGUUACAGAGGAGAGUGAAAAAAUGUUUAAAGCCAGAAAGUGAUCAGAACUUUGAGAAAAUGCAUUUUGUGGUAUGGGUCACAGGUGGGUAGAUGAUUUAAAUUUUCCAGUGGAUAAUAAUUAAGCCAGGAUAGAAAUUGAUAGAAAAUACAAGGAACAUGUUGCAGAUAUCAUUCAAGCUGGAUUUGGUAAUUACUUUUAUGUGGAGAUUAUAGAAAAGAGGAGUCAUUUAAAAAUAAGGCUCCUAGCCAGGAAGAUAUAGUACCUAAUCAAACAAUGGUAUAGUAUAAAAAUAAGUACAAAUGUUAAAUAUAAGUAUAAAAGUAUAAAAUAUUAUUUUAGUAUAAAAAUAAGAGGAGAGAAUAAUUUUGUAGGAAAUGUCAUGUGAAUUAAGUCUCUUAUUAGACUUAAUAAGGACACAUGAAAACACUACAUAAAAAUUAAAGGAUGUAUUUUGAAGCCAACUGUAUAAAUUUGGGGGUAAACCACCUAACAUAAAUCUGAUAAAAAAUUUGUUAAAUACUGAAUCAUUUUAUUUAAUUAUUUUAUCUCUUCAAACAAUUUUGAGGUCUUUUAUAUGUGCAUCAUCGAACAAUGCUCUAGAUAUUUACAAAUAAGCACCCAACAGUGCCAUUGGGUAGAUAUAGAUCCAUCUUGUCACUCACAUAAUAAGCUUAUGAAGUCCCUAGUCGAGAAUCUACCAAGGUUAUACAAUGUACUGUGCCAUUCUAAGAUUUCA
rnacentral:lncRNA from 1 species